rnacentral:lncRNA from 1 species
UUCUAUAAUGGCUGCUCUAACUCCGUAACUUUGAUUUUUAUUAGAAGUUUUUAGACUUGAAUUGCCUGAACAAGAGGUUUUCAAAAGAAAGAAAAUUACGAUGUAGAAAUGAGAAGGGAAGAAUAAAAAGGAAAAUUAAUCGAGGAAAUAGCAAACUUAUAAGAUUCUGAUUGCAAAUUGAAGGUAGCACUGAAGCAUUUGGUAAACUGCAAUGCCAAUGACUUACAAAAAAAAGUCGAACAAUACGAACUGUUUGGAGAAAAAUCUGUUGAUUUCUUUGUCUAAUCCACAGCGAUAAAUUUAGUAAUUCCAGGGAUAAAAUGAUGGGAGAAGAAUGUAAACAAGGCGAAGAACAACUCUUACACUCCCAAAGUAAAUUCGACCUGGAAAAGGAGACUGAUCAAGGAGCUGUCCAACGUAGUCAAAAAUAACAAAUCCACCAUCUUUUAAAUGGCUGAAAUCAACAAGAAGUAGGAAAAUAUCAUUCAGAUUCAAAGUAUUACUUUGAUAUCUAAGGAGGAUCAGCUCAAGAAAAUGUCGGAAAAAUCCGAAUAUUUCAAGUUGAAAGCGAUUAGUCUUGCAAAUGGGGUGCAGGAGCUAAAAAAGAGCAUAUCUGAACCUUGUCAAAGGGAGGCUGCCUGUGUAAUUCGCAGGUGUUCGAACUCAAAAACGCACUGAACGCAGAAAAAAACACGCAAAGAAUAAAAUAAAAAAAUCAUCGAAGACCAAUCACAGACGAUAAACCUCCAAAGUCAGGUGAAAGAAAAAUCAUCCAGUAUCUUGAGGAGGAAAUUGGGAAAAUUAACGACAAACAUUUUCUCCUUAUCAUUUCAAAUGCUUGAGUGCCAGUAAAUCCAACUCUUAGACGAGAUAAACGAUCGAAGAGAUGCUCCAUCAAAAUAAGGACAUGUGUGGUGAUAAUGAGACCAACUGAAGAACGAAGAACAGCAAAUAACUGAGCAAAAAAGGAAUGGGAUUCGCAGAAAGAAUCUCUAAAAAAAAAAGCAGUCUGCGCAGCAAAGUUCGCCAAAAGGAAGCGCAGCAAAGGAAGGACCAGAUCCUCCUCACCAAAAUUCUUCAUGAAAAAGAUGAGCAACUAAUAGUGGUAAACCCAAAAAUAUCAAACAUCAAACAUAUCACCAAAGACAUUUCGGAACCGAGAGAAAUGCUCAUGAAAGAGUUGUUUUUUAGUGAUAACCUCCGUAGUGGAUUUUCAUCAGAGGCAAAUAAUAUGGAAAAAACAUCCAUGUACUCCUCUUGUUCCAACUGCUGCAGGAAAUCGGAGUGUUACAGGAUAAGUCACAUAUCGGCGAAAUGUGAUAAUUAUUAUGAUAGUUAUCACGGGCGUGGGAAUAUCCAAAAAAUUCAAGAGGAGCCUAGUAAGGAUAUGUGAUGAAUAUUUUUGUAAAUAGAUGUUAUUUUGUUUAUA